rnacentral:rRNA from 2 species
CUUGGCGACCAUAGCAUUUUGGACCCACCUGAUCCCAUGCCGAACUCAGAAGUGAAACGAAAUCGCGCCGAUGGUAGUGUGGGGCUUCCCCAUGUGAGAGUAGGUCAUCGCCAGGC